rnacentral:misc_RNA from 1 species
GUAUUAAAUUUCAUCAAUUAACAUUCUUUUACAAUGUGUGUGUGUGUGUGUAUGAAGCAAACAUAGGCCUUGAAAAGCCUACAAAAGUGCACAUGUGGGUGUAUAGAUGACAAGAGGUGUGCACAUAUCUACAAAAGAUCAGCUACAACCCCCUUCAAAAUUCAAUAAUGAUCCUUCCGCAGGUUCACCUACGGAAA